GUGGGAUGCUGUGUAGCUGCUGUGGAGAAAUCCAUAGAGGAAAGUCCGGGCUCCAUGCAAACAUAGUGCCGGAUAACGUCCGGCGGGGCGAUCGUUAAGGGUUGUUCUAGGGAAAGUGCAACAGAAAAUAUACCGCUAGCAGGUUUUUCCUGUUAGUAAGGGUGAAAAGGGGCGGUAAGAGCGCACCGCAAUCGUGGUAACACGGUUGGCAUUGUAAACCCCACUAGGAGCAAGGCCGAAUAGGGAUCUAUUCCGAAAGGAUGGCGUGUUUGUCGCUUAGGGAUUCGGGUUGGCUGCUUGAGCUUAUUGGUGACAAUAAGCCUAGAUGAAUAGCUACAGAGGAAUAUACAUGUCACACCUGAAGCUCCGGAUGGGUUUUCUCGUUUCGCAAGGAGGAAAAUCGAAAGGGGCCGAAUUUUCAGGCGUGAAUUCAAUGUAUCCAGACAAAACCCGGCUUAUAGGCAUCUCACGCAA
rnacentral:RNase_P_RNA from 1 species